GAAGUUUAUUCACUUGACUGUGUUCUUCUAUUUCUUUUCUUAUUCAAAUAAGCAAACAGCAGGACUAUCUUAGUGGUGUGGGGUCAAAUAUUCUUUAAAUAAAGGGAUUCACCAAACAUCUGGCUGAUUACUGGCAAUUUGUACACAGCAGUAAUGACAGUGGACAAGUGAAGAGAGUGGAGGGGACGGCAUCAGAAAGGACCUUGAGCUGCAACUGUCUUGGAUCACCCAAAGCACAACUACACUAUGUGUCCAAGCACUGAACAAGGCUUUUCACCUUACAUAAUAAAUGUAUUUAAUUUAAGGCAGGGUUUUAGGGCAGGGAUUGGGGUUGCAUAGAUAAGUGAGGAGAGUUUGGGCAAGGCGGUGUAGAUCUUUUAGAUCUUCUCUCCAGAUGAGUUUUAUAGCUUUAUUGCAGGGUGCUUGAUCCCAGUUCUUGUCUUAGCAGGAAAAUCAAGUCUUAUUUUAUCAACUGGAAAUAUCCAGAAUUAGAUAAAUAAAAUGGAAACGGAGCUAGUGAAACACACACACACACACACCAAUGACACUAAUAAUUCAUAGGUUCUAUUUAUUGAUAUUCUGAAAAGAAUAACGAGAUGCAAACCUGUAAAUAUUCAAUCAACUUUUCUUUUUUUCUUUUUUUUUUUUUUUGAGGCGCAUUAACCAUGACAAUAAUUUAGCAGUCGCAGGGAUACACAGACCAGAACACUACCACCCAGUAUCAAUAAUAGGGCUGGGCGAUAUAUCGCAUGCG